GGGUGUGUAGCUCAGUGGCAGAGCACAUGCUUAGCAUGCACGAGCUCCUGGGUUCAAUACCCAGUACCUCCA
rnacentral:tRNA from 1 species